AAUCAACGCUGGCGGCGUGCCUCAGACAUGCAAGUCGAACGAGAAAGUUCCCUUCGGGGAAUGAGUAAAGUGGCGCACGGGUGAGUAACACGUAGGUAAUCUACCUUCGGGUGGGGAAUAACCCAGGGAAACUUGGGCUAACACCGCAUAAUGCAGCGGCACCACAUGGUGACAGUUGUUAAAGCGGGGGAUUUUAGGACCUCGCGCCUGAAGAGGAGCCUGCGGCGGAUUAGCNGUUGGUAAGGUAACGGCUUACCAAGGCGACGAUCCGUAGCCGGCCUGAGAGGGCGGUCGGCCACACUGACACUGACAUACGGGUCAGACUCCUACGGGAGGCAGCAGUCGGGAAUUUGGGCAAUGGGCGCAAGCCUGACCCAGCAACGCCGCGUGAAGGAUGAAAUCCCUCGGGAU
rnacentral:rRNA from 1 species